rnacentral:lncRNA from 1 species
AGAAGCCGUGACUUCUGACCAGGAGACCGUGUGUAAGGACUGAGGAGAACCAGGACGAACACAGGCAGCUCGAGGAAAAAGUGCAGGGCCGGAGGAGCCGUGGCCCCGGCUGUCAGCAUCCAGAGACCCAGAACGAGCCCCAACAGGACGCGGGCCUGUGUUCGAGGAGAGUACAGCGUCACUGAGGUCAGAAGGGCCUCACGCUGAGAACCGCCAAGAUCCACAGGCAGAGACCUGUGUUGAAAUCUGAAUGCUCCCCCGCAGAAAAAGAAAAAAAAAGAAAAGAGAAGAAAGAAAAAAAACCAGGAAGCAACUGGCAGUGGCCUACAUUUGUCUUUGCACUGUGUCGCCGAGGCACGGCAGAGAGGACUGGGGAGGAGACGCAGGGUGCCCACCCCGGCCCCGGACUGCAGGCCCCGUGCAAGGCACCCGUCCCGUCCCAGGUCCCCAGCACUGGUCAGCCUCAGCCACCCUCAUCUGCGCCAGGCAGGACACGCGCCUGGGGCGGCCACGCCCCUCCUUGGAGCCUGUGCGUGGCGCAUGUGGCACAGGGGCCUUGGCAGGAGGUGAGGCUAGGACCCGAGCAGAGGGCAGAGCUGCCCGGUUUCUUAGGGGACCCAGAGGAAUCCCAGGAGCCCUAAACGUGGAGGAGGAGCCGGGAGCACGGCCAGUGAGGCAGGGCUGGAGGACUGGGCUCAGCACGGGGCCCAGGGCCAGGGACAUGGGUGCCACAGGUGUCAGCCCAGGAGCGAUUCCACCGGCACCCUCAGGACCUGCUGCCCAGCCUCUUGGGAGGGGGCGCUGGUCUGAACAUCUGAUUCCUGGCGGGACAUCACCUUGCAGAACACGGACGGACAAACAGACGAAGCCUGAGCCGCCCCAGCUAAGCGCCGGUAACCCGGUCUCGCUGCUCAGCCAGACGCUCCCUCCAAGCCACACCGCCGCUCUGCCCGUCUCCACCCCAACCCGGGGAGGGAAAGAGUGCGGACUCAGGACCCCGCUCUCCUACACGCAGCGGGGACGCCGCUCCGCAAGCCAGACCUCUGCGGUCGCGGCGGAUAAAGUGUACUUGAAUUUCAGCGCUGUGGGGAAGCAAGUCACACACCCACGGGCAGGCAGCGCAGGGGGCAGAGUCUGA